UACGUAGGGUGCGAGCGUUAAUCGGAAUUACUGGGCGUAAAGCGUGCGCAGGCGGUUUUGUAAGCCAGAUGUGAAAGCCCCGGGCUUAACCUGGGAAUGGCAUUUGGGACUGCAAGGCUUGAGUGCGGCAGAGGAGACUGGAAUUCCUGGUGUAGCAGUGAAAUGCGUGGAUAUCGUGAGGAACACUAGUGGCGAAGGCGGGACUCUGGAGAACACCUGACACUGAGGCACGAAGGCCAGGGGAGCGAACGGG
rnacentral:rRNA from 1 species